rnacentral:lncRNA from 1 species
CGCCACCUUGACAAGGCGUGCCCUGCGGAAGGGGCCCCUGGGCUGUGCUGCACAGACGGCUCUCAUGGGCGUCCAUCGGCAAGCCCACCAGCAGGGCCUGCAGAAGUUAUUACAAAAAAGAUAGUUACACAGAGACGCUGCACUCACGCUGCCCUCGUCCGUGAACGCAAAUGCUGUCCCGCACGUUUUCAGAGGGAACAACCGAUCCUUGGCAAAGGCCAUGGGCCUGAGCUCCGGGGGUGCUGAGCAGCCGCCGUGACACUCGGUUAGGAGUAAAAUCAUCUCGGCAAGAGGAGGACUGCGGCCACGAACCCCGGACGUGGGCAGCCACCCCCACCGUGGCCGUCGAGCGGCGUGGACUUCAGAACCAGGGCCGUGACGUGAAAACUGGUCCCUUGCUCCAC